AGCCAGUCUAGCCUCAGAACCUCUCAGUUUGGACCAGAUUAUCUCACAGAUCAGUUGUCAGCAGCCAGCCCAGCCCUACAUAGACAUUGACUUUACCGUUCAGAACGAUGAGUUGACGUCACCCAGCGAAGUCAUCAGUUUCUCUUGCGGCCACAAAUAUGACGGGAGUGCGGCUUUGCAAAAGGCCGCAGUGGGUGCCGCUAGGCAGAUAGACGACAGAUCCUUGCCUUCCACAGCGCAAGCUCUGCGUAGUCUGUACCAGCGACCGCUCGUUCUGCGGCAUUUUGCUUGUCCUGUCUGCGUAGUGGGCUGCGUAACACAGGAGCUGGGUUGAGUGCCUUUAUAUAUGUGUAUUGUCUGUCUGUAAGUGAUCUAUCAAAUGUGGAAGAGCAGUGUGUUAGCUAUCAGCUUUUUCUUUCACGCAGAAAAUAGUUAAACAUUACCGUGUAGUAUGUUUUGUAAGCCAGGAAUCAAACUAAAGGAGCUGCCUUAUAUUUUAUUUUUUUUAAGCUUAGGCUUAAUCUAAUGUAUAUUUUACUGUAAAAAAAAAACUAUAAAAGUUAUUGUUUAGUGACAAAAAGAGAGAAGGGCCAUGGGGACUUGUGCCCACACCAAAUUUGUUGGUUUUUUAUGUAGGCUAAAUAUGAUCAAAACUAAAAUUAUUAGAUAAUUUGGUUUUCCUCUGCAGUUAGUAGUUCAUAAUAGUUAAAUAUUUAGAUACCAUAACUAGUUUGGAAAUAGAAAAUUUACUACCAAACUAGUUAAUGCUAGUUAUAAAAACCUCAAAUACCUCAAAUCAAAUAAUUAUUUUUUUAUAAAUACUUAAUGUAUAAGCAUACCCAAUUCCAACACUUAAUCUGAACCGCCAUCCUUAAGCUAAUAAUGUGUGUAAACUAGAUUUUAAGAAUAAUUUCAUUUUUCAAUUCCACCUAUUCAUAUUUGGACAAAGUUUAAAAUGUGUAUAAAAAAAAGCUUGGCCAAAUUGAAUUCUGGCUUACAAAAAAGCUACUUGUACAUUUGCAAUGGGGCGUUUACAUUAAUGUACUAGCUUCACUUUGGAUACUAAAGUAGACUUCUUACCCGUGAUAGCAUCACAAUUGUAUAACCUUUGUCAUGGUUAAAAAUAGUGGGUGUUGCAAUAAUACAAUUUCAAAUUACCCCUAAGAUUACCAAUAUUCUUCCAGUAAACUCUCAAAAUAAUAGUGGCACAAUUUUUCAAAGUUUAAAACGCACUGGAAAAAGGUAAAUUUUGGUAUUUCUGUAGUAGGCUACAUAAGUGUAACAACAGAAAGAAAAUGAAUGGAGCUAUUAAUAUUUACAAAUUUAUAAGUUUGUAUACUGUACUCAAGCAACUAUUAUCUAGUCUCAAAAUGAACAAUCUGUGUAUUUCCACUCAAAUUGUAGUAUUAUUCUAGUUUAUUGUUUUAAAAGACUUGAAUGAACUUUAAAUACCUAGUUAGACUCUGUAGGUUAAAAACACAAAUACAGUAGUUCUUAUUAUUGUUCAUCAUUAUUAGAAAAUGUGAAUACAUAGCUUUAGAGAAUCAUUGGUAUUAAUGGUUGUACAGAGUGCUUCUUUAAAAAAAGUAAUUUGAAUAACAAUUCUUUUGGUUGAUAAACACUUUUAC